rnacentral:lncRNA from 1 species
CUCCUCCUCCUCCUCCUCCUCCUCCCCUCCGCCGCACGACGGGAAGAUCGCACGCGUGCUUGUCCUCGUGCCAGUCCACGGCUCCGCGCGCGCCGUCUUUCUCAUGGUCUUUCUCGAUGGGUAGGAUGCGUUCUUUAUUCAUGUUGAUCUGCCGUAGAUGGGGGGAUCUUGAGCCGGAGGAGUAGCUAGUUUCUUUGAUUAUGCGUUUUGGGGUCUAGCGGAUUUUAACAUGAGAUGGUUUCUCUUUAGCGACAUUUUUUUUUGUUCAUGUUGAUGUCCACGGUGAUUGUUCUAGUUAUGUCAUUUUUAUCUUCAAGACUUAAAUGCUUUGAAUCGCCGGUAUAGACCAGAUUAUUGUCGUGAAGAUCGACGUAUUUUCCGAGCUGACCCUCUGCAUGCUGAAAAUUUUGUAGUGGGUUAUAUCUAGAUUAUAUGUGUAUUGUUGUCAUUCAAUUAGCACUUAAACUUCUGUAGCAUAAACAUUUUCAUCAUCUUCCUGUGAGGACAUCGGAUGAGUUCCUUUUUUUUUCUCUUCUUGUUCUAAAAUUGUUCGGUAAUCUUGUCUGGCUUUGACUGAUGGGCUCCAAUGAUGGCAUGAAAUCUUUGAGACCUGACAUUCUUGUGAUGACAAACAUAAGCAUAUUUCCUGAGGACCCAAUUGAGGUUUUAACCAUUGGUUUGCUGAAUGUGUCUUCAGUGUUGAAAAAUUUGGACACAUUUGCUUCAAAUUAUGCACAUUCGACUGUUGUUUAUAGGCCUGCGAUGUCCAUUCCACAUUCAGUAUUUGUUAAGCUGACUGCUUUUGUUUCAAAUUUGUUUUGUAUAGGUGAACGUUCCCAAGACCAAGAAGACCUACUGCAAGAACAAGGAGUGCAGGAAGCACACCCUUCACAAGGUCACUCAGUACAAGAAGGGUAAGGACAGCCUGUCUGCCCAGGGAAAGCGCCGUUAUGACCGUAAGCAGUCAGGAUAUGGUGGUCAGACCAAGCCUGUUUUCCACAAGAAGGUACUGUGACAGUUUAUAUAUGAUUAUGCAGUGUUGUGUGUGACUCUCUGUUCAUUAGAAACAUAUGGUGUCAUGAUUGAUGUAUCAGUGCUAUGUGUCUGUACAAUGCAUGUGGCAAUAACCAUCACGUAGUUUUAAUUGCAUGUGGCUUUCAGCUGUGCAUUUUUCUUGUUAUGAUACAUGGUUCCUGUUUUCAGGCAAAAACCACCAAGAAGAUCGUGCUGAAGCUGCAAUGCCAAAGCUGCAAGCAUUACUCCCAGCACCCCAUCAAGGUAUUAUUUCAUUGUCAAGACUCCAGAGCUGAAAAUGAAUCAUUAUUUUGCUGGAUGUGUUGGAUGCUCACUUGCAUAAUUGUUCUCUGCAGAGGUGCAAGCAUUUCGAGAUUGGUGGAGACAAGAAGGGCAAGGGAACAUCUCUUUUCUAAAUUGCUUGCUACCUACUGGAUACUAAAGUUGUUGGUCUACUGUGCUUCAAUAUUUCAAUGUUAUUAGGAGCUUAUUUAAGCAUACCAUAUCAAUGUAUUCAAGUAUCAUCGUCUGACAUUUACUCUAGCAAGGAUUGGCUUUCUGCUGAAUCAAGUUUUGUUGCUUAAUGCUCAUUGAAUCCAAUGUGAUGCAUGUGUUUAUAUUUUGCAGCAAUUUUAUCUUACGACAGUUCUAUUUCCCUUAGUCCUCAGUAUCCCUUUUUUUUUGUUAUCUUACCAGCUGUCUGUUGAUUAGUAGUUAGCAAACAUAGAGCGACCCACUUUAAUGACUUCCCGUGACAUGAAUAUGACCUCGAGAGAUUAGUCUAGUGAACUUAUUCAGACUGAAUGUUGUAUUGUUAACUGUACUGGCGUUUGGUCAGUAUCUUUCGAAAGAGAUUGAAUGUAGGGACGUAAUUUUAUUGCAAGAUAAUUCAUUUGUUCUUGUGGUUCAGUAUCUUGGAAGGUCUUGUGAUGUUAGUGAAUUCUUUUCGUAGCAUUGCAGUACUUGCUCCGUCCUUAAUGCAUGAUUCAAUAGGCUACGCAAUCUCGUUUGUAGCAAUGAAUUUUAAAAAUUUGGAAUCGCUAACUAUCGUUUGACAGAUUUAUGAGCCUUCCAUCAUUCGUUUUUUUAAGCUGUCAGAUGGUUAAAAAUUAUAAUUUAUUAUGAACCGAAUAAAUAGCUUCGAACAAGCUAAGCUAUGCUGAUGUAGAAAAAAAAUAGUUCGAGAACCGUGGUAUAUCCCCCCCCCCAAAACCUCCCCAACCCACCCAUAAAAAACCGGAUGGCAGCAAUCACAACUUAGCAUUGCUUCUCAUAGCAAUGUUCGUAUACUAUAAGUGCAGGUUAGUUCAGACUUCAGACACCUAUGGUAAUUGUUUUUUAUUUUGUUCGUUAGGUGGUGUUUGGGUCCAUGGAUUAAACUUUAGCCUUUAUGUUUAGACACUAAUUUAGACUAAAUAUAGAUUACUUACAAAAAUAAUUAAAUAAAUGAGAGCUAAUUCGCGAGACAAAUUUUUUAAGCCUAAUUAAUUCAUAAUUAGAGAAUGUUUACUGUAGCAUCACAUAGGCUAAUCAUGGAUUAAUUAGGCUUAAUAGAUUCGUCUCGCGAAUUAGUCCAAGAUUAUGGAUAUGUUUUGUUAAUAGUCUAUAUUUAAUACUUCUAAUUAGUGUACAAACAUCCAAUUUGGAAAGUGCUAAAAAAUUUUAGUCCCUUCCAAACACCCCCUUAUUAUUUUUAUCAAAUAGCCACGUAAGCGUCAUCUCAAUAGCACGUGGGACAAAGACCCCUAGUCAAAGGCGUCAUGUCAGCCAAAACCAGAGACAUUGCUACCGAGGGAGCUCGUUUGCAUAGUUGAAGAAGGCGCCAUGUCAGCCAAAACCGGAGACAUUUUUAUCGAGGGACCUCGUUUGCAUAGUUGGGUUGUACUCCCUCCAUAUUUUAAUGUAUGACGCCGUUGACUUUUUAAUCAACGCUUGACCAUUCGUCUUAUUCAAAAAAUUAUGUAAUUAUCAUUUAUUUUAUUAUGGCUUGAUUUAUCAUCAAAUAUUCUUUAAGUAUGACAUAAAUAUUUUUAUAUUUGCACAAAAAAUUUGAAUAAGACGAAUAGUCAAACAUUAUUCGAAAAGUCAACGGUGUCAUACAUUAAAAUACGGAGCGAGUAUAUGGUUUUCGGAUAAGGAUGAAAAACAGACUUAGCGACUAUAAGGGAAUAAGUUAACUAAUCAUAAACCGUGCGAAAAAGAUCCAAAAACAUACGGAGCGACAAAGUAAGGGACCUAUUGUGAACUUAUUUGAGGGAUAAAGUCACUUCCUUAACUACAAGGGAAUAAGUUCACCUGACGUCCCUCAACUUUAUGUUGAGUUUGUCUGCGGUCCCCAAUCCGCGAUAGCAAAAAUCUCUACCCCUCAACUAUCACAAACCGUGCAAAAAAGAUCCCAAGACAAUAUUGAUCCAUUUUCCCCGGUUUUGCUGAUGUGGCAUACGGUGGGACCCACAUGUCAGCGUCCUGUCUUCUCCUCUUUUCUUUUUUCUUUUUUUUUCUUCUUCUCUCUUCUCCUCUUCCCUUCUUCCCCUAGCCUGAGAGGCCAGCGGGUGGGCGAGCAGGCGACGGUAGGAGGCAGCAGCGGUGUGCGGAGCAGGCAAGGGGUAGCAGGCGACGGGCGAGCGACGACGCCUCAGAGAGGGUGUGGUGUGGGCGUCGCUGUGCUGUGUCGGGCAGAGCGAGGUGGCGUCGGUGGGGUGUAGAGGACGACGGCAGAUGGAACCGACGGCGGAUGCUGUAGGGGACGAUGACGCGGAGGACGGAGUAGGCCGGGAGAGGAUGACGCUGAUGCGCUUGGGGUUUCACCGGGAGACCCCGCCUUCACCGUCUUCGUGCCCUCACCGGAGUCGUUCCACAACGUCCUCGGGCUGCGGCAUCCCAACGACAGCGUUGCCGAUGGGUGGGUCUCACAUUUUCUUUCUAUUUCACUUACAUGUGAGACUCACGUAUUAUUUUAUUUCUAUUUUGUUGACUAAGAUGUCACGCCAGCGAAACCAAGACAUCUAUACUGCCAUGGGAUAUAAAUUGAACGGUUUUGUAUAUUUAGGGGUGAAGAUUUGUGGUAUUGAGGAUAAGGGAUGACAAACAAACUCGGUGUAAAGUUGAGGGACAUCAGGUGAACUUAUUCCAACUAUAAGGCAACGCAUCACGGCCCAUGGCCCAUGGGAUGCGCAUUCUGGCCCACAAAGCAGCACACGCUCUCUCCCCCACCAGUAAGCCCUAGCCUCCAGGAGCUCAGCCGUAUAAAGCCGCAGACCUUCUCCUUCCCCUCCCCGCCGCCACUCGCCGCAGCGUCUCGACCAGACAAGGGAGCGCCUCCGAAACCCUAGCUCCCCCUUUCCCCUCCGCGGCCACCAAAAUGGUACGCUUCUCCCUCCUCCCCGUCCGCCUCUCUCCGUCGCACGACGGCAAGAUCAUGCGCGUGUGUGUCCUCGUGCCAGUCCACGGCACCCUGCUCUGGUCGAUUUGUAGGGGGAUUGCAUUCUUUAUUCAUGUUGAUCUGCUGUAGAUGGGGGCGAUCUUGAGCCGGAGGAGUAGCUAGCUUCUUGUUGAUGCGGUUUCGGGAUUUAGAGAUUUAACACGGAGAUUGAUAGUUUCUCUUUAGCGAUUUCUUUUUUUCUUGUUGAUAUAAUGAUAUCCACGGUGAUUGUACUAGUUAUGGUUUUUUUAUCUUCAAUGCUUUGUAUUAUUGUUUUUGAUUUGUGGGUAGAGACCAGAUUAUUGUUGUUAAGAUGGACGGAUUCUCUGAGCUGGUCCUUUGCAUGCUCUGAAGCGCAGAAAAUUUGUGUAAUGGGUUAUAUCUGGAUUAUGUGUAGCUAUUAACUUCUGUAGUAAACAUUUUCAUCUUCCUUUGAGGACAUGGGAUGAAUUCCUUUUUUUCUUCUCUUGUUGUGCUAAAAUUGUUCGGUAAUCUUGUCUGUGGCUUUGACUGAUGGGCUCCGAUGAUGGCAUGAAAUCUUUGAGACCUGACAUUCUUGUGAUGACAAACAUAAGCAUAUUUCCUGAGGACCCAAUUGAGUUUUUAACCAUUGGUCUGCUGAAUGUGUCUUUGCUGUUGAAAAAUAUGUAUACACAUUUGCUUCUGAUUAUGCGCAUUUGAUUGUGUUGUUUAUAGGCCUGCUAUGUGCUUUCCAACAACCAGUAUUUGUUAAAUUUGUUUCAUAUUUGUUAUGUAUAUAGGUGAACGUUCCCAAGACCAAGAAGACCUACUGCAAGAACAAGGAGUGCAGGAAGCACACCCUUCACAAGGUCACUCAGUACAAGAAGGGUAAGGACAGCCUGUCUGCCCAGGGAAAGCGCCGUUAUGACCGUAAGCAGUCAGGAUAUGGUGGUCAGACCAAGCCUGUUUUCCACAAG